rnacentral:tRNA from 1 species
GGCGCUGUAGCUGAGUCAGUAGAGCGCGAGACUCUUAAUCUUUCAGUCGCGGGUUGGAGCCCCGCAAGCGGUU